UGGGGAAUAUUGGACAAUGGGCGAAAGCCUGAUCCAGCCAUGCCGCGUGUGUGAAGAAGGUCUUCGGAUUGUAAAGCACUUUAAGUUGGGAGGAAGGGCAUUAACCUAAUACGUUAGUGUUUUGACGUUACCGACAGAAUAAGCACCGGCUAACUCUGUGCCAGCAGCCGCUGUAAUACAGAGGGUGCAAGCGUUAAUCGGAAUUACUGGGCGUAAAGCGCGCGUAGGUGGUUUGUUAAGUUGGAUGUGAAAUCCCCGGGCUCAACCUGGGAACUGCAUUCAAAACUGACUGACUAGAGUAUGGUAGAGGGUGGUGGAAUUUCCUGUGUAGCGGUGAAAUGCGUAGAUAUAGGAAGGAACACCAGUGGCGAAGGCGACCACCUGGACUAAUACUGACACUGAGGUGCGAAAGCGUGGGGAGCAAACA
rnacentral:rRNA from 1 species